rnacentral:rRNA from 8 species
GCGGCGGACGGGUGAGUAACACGUGGGCAACCUGCCCUGCAGACUGGGAUAACUUCGGGAAACCGGAGCUAAUACCGGAUAACACCGAAAACCGCAUGGUUUUCGGUUGAAAGGCGGCUUUUAGCUGUCACUGCAGGAUGGGCCCGCGGCGCAUUAGCUAGUUGGUGAGGUAACGGCUCACCAAGGCGACGAUGCGUAGCCGACCUGAGAGGGUGACCGGCCACACUGGGACUGAGACACGGCCCAGACUCCAACGGGAGGCAGCAGUAGGGAAUCUUCCGCAAUGGACGAAAGUCUGACGGAGCAACGCCGCGUGAGCGAAGAAGGUCUUCGGAUCGUAAAGCUCUGUUGUCAGGGAAGAACAAGUGCCGUUCGAACAGGGCGGUACCUUGACGGUACCUGACGAGGAAGCCACGGCUAACUACGUGCCAGCAGCCGCGGUAAUAC